UACGUAGGGUGCAGGCGUUAAUCGGAAUUACUGGGCGUAAAGCGUGCGCAGGCGGUUUCUUAAGUCAGAUGUGAAAGCCCCGGGCUUAACCUGGGAACUGCGUUUGAAACUGGGAGACUUGAGUGUGGCAGAGGGGGGUGGAAUUCCACGUGUAGCAGUGAAAUGCGUAGAUAUGUGGAGGAACACCGAUGGCGAAGGCAGCCCCCUGGGUUAACACUGACGCUGAGACGCGAAAGCGUGGGGAGCAAACAGG
rnacentral:rRNA from 1 species